UACGGGGGGGGCAAGCGUUGUUCGGAAUUACUGGGCGUAAAGGGCUCGUAGGCGGCCAACUAAGUCAGACGUGAAAUCCCUCGGCUUAACCGGGGAACUGCGUCUGAUACUGGAUGGCUUGAGAUUGGGAGAGGGAUGCGGAAUUCCAGGUGUAGCGGUGAAAUGCGUAGAUAUCUGGAGGAACACCGGUGGCGAAGGCGGCAUCCUGGACCAACACUGACGCUGAGGAACGAAAGUGUGGGGAUCAAACAGG
rnacentral:rRNA from 1 species